rnacentral:rRNA from 1 species
AUGGCGACGGCGUCUGCGAGUCGGCCCAGCGGCCAUGUCCUUUUGAGUCCCUUUCCCAACUACCAAUCCGCCUCGCUCACCCGUGUCAAGCUCUCCGCCGGCGGCUCGCCGGUGAAGUUUGUCAGCGUCUCGUCUCCUCCAUCCUCUCCCGUGGGCGGCGCCGCCAAGAUCCGUCGGUCCUGUAUGUGCUCCCCGACGAACCACCCGGGCUCGUUCCGUUGCAGCCUCCACAAGGAGCGCAAGGAGGGCUCCCCCGCCGCCGGCAGCUGCAGCAAGCCCGUCUCCCCGCCUUCGCCGCCGCCCAUCGGCAGCGGCUGCUCUAGGCGCAUGGUAAACGUGCUAGCGCAACGCGUCCCCAUGGGGAGCGGGCACUGGGCACGCAAGGCGCUCGCGCCGUCCCACGCGCUGCAGCAGCUUCAGCAGAGGAAGCGCGCCGACCGGUUUCGAGCCGGGCCCAGCCGGCUCUCCGCCGCAUCCAUGGCCGGAGGCCGCGCAGGCGGCAGCAACCAGUAA